rnacentral:misc_RNA from 1 species
UAAAUUGAUACUAAGUGGACUGUAUAUACAUAUAUCUGGUUUAUUAGCCGUUUCAGGAACAAUAAUGUGAAUGCAGCAAAUAUUAAAUAGACAGUCUUAGGCGUCGGAUCAAAGGGUCGCUGACGUGUCGUAGGUCGAGCCGCCGUUGUCCUCUCUCCGAUCCGAUGGUGGGGCUGUCCCUCCGUCCCUCGCCGCGCACCG